rnacentral:lncRNA from 1 species
UUUGCUCUACUGAGCAGUCCAAGUCAUCCAUAAUUCGCUCCGUGGCUUCCAGCCAGUACUCAGCCACAUUUGGGGCUACUCCAGAUACACCCCUAAAAACUUCCGCUCCGUUGGCCCGGAGUCGCUCAGAAAUGGACCCCCUAUUCAUGGGCCCGAUAUUAGCUCCAUUCACCCUUUCCAAAACUCUUAACAUGGCCUGGGACAGAGCGUCAUCCCCCACGGCCCGAUCAUACGGC